CUCAGGUCCCACAGGUCAGUUGCAAGGGCCUAGCACAGCUAGCCCCCUGAGAGGCCUCCCUACUUAGUGGUCAGGUGUUAGGAAGGUUUGGUGGGGCCACUUGAGGUGCCCUGGGGUUGGGGUGAAACCCCUCUGCAGCCUAGUCAGCCCAAGGGCAUUGUGAAAGUGACAGCUGCCAGAGGUCUGGGUUCCAGCCCCUGGCUGACAUUAAACUUUUCUGAAUUUCGGUUUUUCCCUGUAAAUUGGGGAAAAUUACUUGCCCCAGCUUCAACACUGCCUCCCCUCCACCCUUUUGCUGCUGCCUUAUCAGGCCCCAGCUGUAGGCAGGUCAGCCCACGCCCGGCGGCAGAGCCCAGAGAGGCUCGCUCAUCUCAGCCGCCAGAAGUGUCAUCCCAGGGAAGGUGAGCGAAGCUGUCCACUAGGACUAAAUAGGGGUGGAGGUAACAGGUAGCAGGGACUCUGGCAGGAACCGCCUUUCAGACGUUUUCAGGACCGUCUGAGCGGGGCCUCCAAGUAUGGGUAGGAGACAGGCGGCCUAGGGAUUCCGGUUAGCACGUCGCGUUCUGCCGCAGCAGGGCUGGGAGCAUCCCCGGGGCAGGCGGAGGUCGGAGGUGGUGAGGCCUUUCGGCGAAGCUGAGGCCUGGAACAACCCGGUGGGAAGCCACGGAGGGGGUCCCCUAGCGGAGGCUGGGCGCGGGCCGGUGCGCGUGCGCGGCUGGAGGCUCAGCGCGCGAGCGUGCGCGUGAUUUGGCCCUGAACGGACGCCGUAGCCGAGAGGUUGGGCGGAUGUUGUGAACCGGGUCGCGGCGGCCGAGGCUCGGGCCUCCAGGACCACUGGCUGCCCAUGAGAGACGAAGGAUGGCAUCCAAGGGGGCCGGCGUGUCUUUCUCCCGCAAGAGCUGUAGGCUGACCUCAGAUGCUGAGAAAUCCAGGGUCACAGGCAUUGUGCAGGAGAAGCUGCUGAAUGACUACCUGAACCGCAUCUUUCCUCUUCUGACCAUGCACCCCCAGCAGCCACCGGCAGGU
rnacentral:lncRNA from 1 species